AUACGUAGGUGACAAGCGUUAUCCGGAUUUACUGGGCGUAAAGGGCGUGUAGGCGGUCUUGCAAGUCAGAAGUGAAAUUCCUGAGCUCAACUCGGGCGCUGCUUCUGAAACUGCAGGACUUGAGUGCUGGAGGGGAUAGCGGAAUUCCUAGUGGAGCGGUAAAAUGCGCAGAUAUUAGGAAGAACACCGGUGGCGAAGGCGGCUAUCUGGACAGUAACUGACGCUGAGGCGCGAAAGCGUGGGGAGCAAACAGGAUUAGAUCCCCUGGUAGUCCACGCCGUAAACGAUGAAUACUAGGUGUAGGGGGUAUCGACUCCCUCUGUGCCGCAGUUAACACAAUAAGUAUUCCGCCUGGGGAGUACGGCCGCAAGGUUGAAACUCAAAUGAAUUGACGGGG
rnacentral:rRNA from 1 species